rnacentral:lncRNA from 1 species
AAAGUUGAGUCUAAUGUACCAAAAUGCUCUUUAAUCUUGUGGUCCUAAACAUGUCUUGUGAAAAGUUGAAAUUAAAGUAUUACCAAAAAGAGAAAGAGGUCAUUCUUUUUGAAACAGACUAAAAAAAAAAGUAGAUCAUUCUUUUUGAAACGGAAAAAGUAUGUUAUAUGAGAGAAAAUGAUCAAAAUAGUCCUUGAUGUAUGGACGUGGAUCGAUUUGGUCCCUGAUAUGUUAAAUGUAUGGACUUUGAUUGAUUUGGGCCCUGAUAUAUAACAACUUAUCACUUUAGUUGUUGGCCUUACAAACCUAACAACACCCAAAAAAAUCUGUCAAAUAUAAAUGGUGGCUUCAUUCCCCAAUAAGAACAAAAGACUCUGUCUUCUUUCAUCGGUCCCAAAGGUCCAGUUUUCUUUCCAACUAAAAUUCCUAACUUGAAAGAACACUGGAGAAAGUUUCAAUGAAGGGGUAAGAGUUGACUUGAACUCCAAUUUCAGAGUCUAACACUGGAGAAAGUUUCAAUGAAGGGGUAAGAGUUGACGUGAACUCCAAUUUCAAAGUCUUACCCGAAUUAAGGUGUCUAUUUGAAUGCAACUGCUGACAUUUUUCGAUAUGAAAUGUGGAAAAGCCCUGUUUCUCUGUGGACAGUAGCUGCUUUGGGUGGCACUAAUAUUUGCCUUGGAGAAAUCAACGGAAAAGAAAUUUUGGAGCCGAUUUACCUUCACAGUGUGACAUUUUUGUGGUGCAUCAAUAAUCCUUACAAAUUCUCAGAUGCAAUUGGCACAAAUCAGCCCUUGUUACCCCGCAGAUGCAUAUGGUUUGAGUGAAGUACUUGGUCCAAUGAUAUCAAUUCCUUGGAAAUCUUAAGAUUAUUUAUCCAAUUCAAAUGAAGACGUGAAACUUCUCAAUUUACCCCUUAAUUGAAACUUUCUCCAUUGUUCUUUCAAGAUAGGGAUUUUGUUUGGAAAAAAAACUUGACCUUUGGGACUAAUUGAAGAAGCAGUGUCUUUAGUUAUUAUUGGAGAAUGAAGCCACCUUUAUAUUUGACAGAUUCUAUUGUGCGUUGUUAGGUUUGUAGUGCCAAGGACUCAUGUGAUAAGCAUUUAGCAUAGAUAAAGAACCAUUUCCAUAAGUUGUUAUAUAUGAG